rnacentral:rRNA from 1 species
GUGCGAAGGUAGCGUAAUCACUUGUUCUUUAAAUGAGGACUAGUAUGAAUGGCCCCACKAGGGCUGCACUGUCUCCUUUUUCUAAUCAAUGAAACUAAUCUCCCCGYGAAGAAGCGGGGAUAAUUAUAUAAGACGAGAAGACCCUAUGGAGCUUAAAACAACUGAAACAUUUGCUUUUACCUUAACCGCCCCCGGGCUCUUUAUUUCACCCAAGCAUUUUUAUUUCUAGUUUUAGGUUGGGGUGACCACGGAGCAAAACCAAACCUCCACGAAGAAUGAAUAUUUUUAAGCCACAAACUACUUUUUUAAGCAUCAACAAAUUGACCUCCAUUGACCCAAUAUAUUGAUCAACGAACCAAGUUACCCUAGGGAUAACAGCGCAAUCUACUUCAAGAGCUCAUAUCGACAAGUAGGUUUACGACCUCGAUGUUGGAUCAGGGUAUCCUAGUGG